rnacentral:rRNA from 1 species
AAACCAACAGGGAUUGCCUUAGUAACGGCGAGUGAAGCGGCAAAAGCUCAAAUUUGAAAUCUGGCACCUUCGGUGUCCGAGUUGUAAUUUGAAGAAGGUAACUUUGGAGUUGGCUCUUGUCUAUGUUCCUUGGAACAGGACGUCACAGAGGGUGAGAAUCCCGUGCGAUGAGAUGCCCAAUUCUAUGUAAAGUGCUUUCGAAGAGUCGAGUUGUUUGGGAAUGCAGCUCUAAGUGGGUGGUAAAUUCCAUCUAAAGCUAAAUAUUGGCGAGAGACCGAUAGCGAACAAGUACAGUGAUGGAAAGAUGAAAAGAACUUUGAAAAGAGAGUGAAAAAGUACGUGAAAUUGUUGAAAGGGAAGGGCUUGAGAUCAGACUUGGUAUUUUGCGAUCCUUUCCUUCUUGGUUGGGUUCCUCGCAGCUUACUGGGCCAGCAUCGGUUUGGAUGGUAGGAUAAUGACUAAGGAAUGUGGCUCUACUUCGGUGGAGUGUUAUAGCCU